CGGACGGGUGAGUAACGCGUGGGUAACCUGCCUUGUACUGGGGGACAACAGUUGGAAACGACUGCUAAUACCGCAUAAGCGCACAGCUUCGCAUGAAGCAGUGUGAAAAACUCCGGUGGUACAAGAUGGACCCGCGUCUGAUUAGCUGGCUGGUGAGGUAACGGCCCACCAAGGCAACGAUCAGUAGCCGGCCUGAGAGGGUGAACGGCCACAUUGGGACUGAGACACGGCCCAA
rnacentral:rRNA from 1 species